UUUGAUAGGGGCCACAUUCCAGAGAGGGUGCGAGACCUGUGCGGACAGUGGAGCAAKCUGUACGGCCAUAUCUUGGAGUCGGGUUGCUUGAAAGUGCAGCCUAAAGUGGGUGAUAAACUUCAUCUAAGGCUAAAUAUAGACGCGAAUUCGAUAGCAAACAAGUACUGUGAAGGAAAGUUGCAAAGAACUUUGAAGAGAGAGUUCAAGAGAACGUGAAAUCGCUGGAGUGGAACCGGAGAGAGUUGACGUAGUCGGGUAACUAAGUUUGCCAAAGUCGCUUAAUUGUGGCAGCGGCAGAUGUAUGUUGCCUAUGGCUGCGCUGACAGCGCUGGCUGUGCGUUCCGAACCGUUUGCGUUGCCCACUUCGGUGGUGUCUUGUCUGCGGGUAGGUUUGUCGUGGCUAGUGUUUUAUCCUGCUUGCAGGGUGUCAGUGUGAAAGUCGACCACCUCUCCGACCCGUCUUGAAACACGGACCGAGGAGUGUAACUUGUACGCGAGUCAAAGGGUGGAAAACCCCAUGGCGAAAUGAAAGUAAAGGUCGGUUAACCGGCUGACAUGGGAUCCGCCUUUCGAGACGGCGCACCAUGGCCCUGUCUCGUCUGCUUGCAGAUGGGCAGCGGUAGAGCGUACAGGUUGCGACCCGAAAGAUGGUGAACUAUGCCUGAGCAGGACGAAGUCAGAGGAAACUCUGAUGGAAGUCCGUAUCGGUUCUGACGUGCAAAUCGAUCGAUAGACUUGGGUAUAGGGGCGAAAGACUAAUCGAACCAUC
rnacentral:rRNA from 1 species